UACAGAGGGGGCAAGCGUUAUUCGGAAUUAUUGGGCGUAAAGGGCGCGUAGGCGGCCUGGCAAGUGGAAGGUGAAAUCCCUCGGCUUAACCGAGGAACUGCCCUCCAAACUGCUUGGCUUGAGUCCGGGAGAGGUGAGUGGAAUUCCCAGUGUAGCGGUGAAAUGCGUAGAGAUGUGGAGGAACACCGAUGGCGAAGGCAGCCCCCUGGGCCAACACUGACGCUCAGGCACGAAAGCGUGGGGAGCAAACAGG
rnacentral:rRNA from 1 species